AUCCCGGCCUGGCGGAGCACGACUGGCUCUCCCGCAGCCAGCUGCGCGCCGUUACGGGAGCGGUGCUUCCGCCGCAGUGCGCCACCACUACGAGCUGCCGGCGCCGCGCUGGAGGGAGGGUGGCUGGGUGCGACCCCGGUGGGCGGAGGACCGGGAGCCCGGAAGGUGAAAUGAGGCGGGCGCCCGCUCGCGGCUGCACCUGCCCUGGUCGCCCCUAAACUGUCCGGCCUGGUGGGCUUGGGAUCAACACCUUCUCCCUCCUGGAUCUUUCCAGUCAGCAUUUCCACAAACUCAAGAGCCUAAAUCCUUGCUUUCAAUGUGGUCAAUGAAGCAGCAUCCUCAACAUCACCUAGGAGCCGGCUACAAAUGCAGAAUCUCAAGCUCCACCCCAGCCUGCUGAUUGUCUGCAGUUUAACAAAAUCUCCAGGAGAUCUGUAUGCACAUUAAUGUGCUCUAAACCACAACCAAGAUUCUCUGGUCUUCCAUGCUGUUGAGAAGAAUAAAGUGGCAUACUUUCAAUUCUCAAGGGACACUUUGAAGAGGAUGGGCUGGAGUGCCACAGUCUACCAUGGAAUCUACUACUGGAAGCUCAGUCCCCUUCCCAUGUGGUAUUAUUUUAGUCUGAAGAGCUCAGAGUAGGAUAAAUGUAGAGUUAAGGAAUACAGAGUCUCCAAGAUUGCCCAGAUGUUGAAGCAGCAUGGGUCAACUUCUGUGGGUAAAGGUAAAAGUUUUCCUAAAGAUUAGUAGAGAUUUGCAGUGUAGAAGCUAGAAGAGGAUGCUCCAGCAGAGUGGUCCUUAUGGACAGAGAUAAGGGAAUAAGAUUAAGAUCUGGGAAUGGAUAAUUUUGAGUUAUAUCCUUGAUAGGAUAUAACUUUUUAAAAAAAUGUUUCUUUUUUCUUUUUCAAAGUAAUCACUACACUCAACAUGGAGCUCAAACUCACAACCCUGAGAUCAAGAGUCACACACUUGUCUGACUGAGCCAGCCAGGCACCCCAAGAUUAUAACUUUUGAAGAGUUUUUUUUUUUCCUUAAACUGUGGGAAAAGUUGUAUUUAGCAUAUAGUUUUUUUGUUUUCAUUUGAAUAUAGUUGACAUACAGUGUUACAUUAGUUUUAGGUGUACAACUUGGUGAUUUGACAAAUUUAUAUGUUAUAUACGUUUAGCACAAGUGUAGUUACCAUCUG